rnacentral:rRNA from 1 species
GAUGGUAGUGUAUUGGACUACCAUGGCAGUCACGGGUAACGGGGAAUUAGGGUUCGAUUCCGGAGAGGGAGCCUGAGAAACGGCUACCACUUCUAAGGAAGGCAGCAGGCGCGUAAAUUACCCAAUCCUGAUUCAGGGAGGUAGUGACAAGAAAUAACAACUCGGGUCCCUCUGGGAUUGCGAGAUUGCAAUGAGAACAAUUUAAACCACUUAUCCAGUAACAAUUGGAGGGCAAGUCUGGUGCCAGCAGCCGCGGUAAUA